GGGCCCCGCCGGAAGCCCGUCCAGCACCCAACAAAAGCGGCGCGACUAGUCUACGACUGAGCCGAACGCUUCUGGGCGGCGCGCGCCAGGGGGAAACGUUAGCGGCGGAAAGUUCAGGAGAAAACGCUCCAGCAGCUCCCAGCCGACCCCGCCCCUCCCCGACCUACCAUAGACGCCGUCCUCCAUGGCGGCUAGGAAGGCCCGCGGGGAGUCCGGGGCGGUCCCGCCAGUCGGGCCUGGAUCCGCGUUGGCCCGCGGGCUCGGAUGGGGAAACUGACAUGAAGAGGAGUCCAAAGUGACACAGUCAGCCCAGAAAUGUUGCUUCUCAAGUCCUGAGUCCACCUCCUAGCACUGCCAAGCAGUCCACCUGGAGGGGAUGAGAACUUCCAGGCUUUGGUAAUGGACAACUCUGUAUCCCUGGAGCCUUCAUUCCUUUUGGCAUUACAGAACCACAAGAAGUCACCUAGAAUCAUUGAGAUUCUCAACUCCAUUGGGCAAACUGGAACCAGCAAAAUCUCAGAUAUCUAGAAUUGCCACUGCUUCCUUGAUUCUGUGAUCAGUCUAUAGCCACAGAAUCCUGAUUCCCUUUGGACAUUCUAGAAUGGCACUUAAAAAAAAAAAAACAACAACCCACCCC
rnacentral:antisense_RNA from 1 species